rnacentral:rRNA from 1 species
UUAUUCCCAAGUAGCACGGGGCCCGAGAAAUCCUGUGUGAAUCUGGCGGGACCACCCGCUAAGCCUAAAUAUUCCCUGGUGACCGAUAGCGGAUAGUACCGUGAGGGAAUGGUGAAAAGUACCGCGGGAGCGGAGUGAAAUAGUACCUGAAACCGUGUGCCUACAAGCCGUGGGAGCGUCGGACAUCAGCUUGCUGGUGUCUCGUGACUGCGUGCCUUUUGAAGAAUGAGCCUGCGAGUUUGCGGUGUGUUGCGAGGUUAACCCGUGUGGGGAAGCCGUAGCGAAAGCGAGUCCGAACAGGGCGCUGUAGUAGCACGCUCAAGACCCGAAGCGGAGUGAUCUAGCCAUGGGCAGGUUGAAGCGGCUGUAAGAGGUCGUGGAGGACCGAACCCACCAGGGUUGAAAACCUGGGGGAUGACCUGUGGUUAGGGGUGAAAGGCCAAUCAAACUCCGUGAUAGCUGGUUCUCCCCGAAAUGCAUUUAGGUGCAGCGUCGUGUGUUUCUUGCCGGAGGUAGAGCACUGGAUAGGCGAUGGGCCUUACCGGGUUACUGACCUUAGCCAAACUCCGAAUGCCGGUAAGUGAGAGCACGGCAGUGAGACUGUGGGGGAUAAGCUCCAUGGUCGAGAGGGAAACAGCCCAGAGCAUCGACUAAGGCCCCUAAGCGUACGCUAAGUGGGAAAGGAUGUGGAGUCGCAGAGACAACCAGGAGGUUGGCUUAGAAGCAGCCACCCUUGAAAGAGUGCGUAAUAGCUCACUGGUCUAGUGAUUCCGCGCCGACAAUGUAGCGGGGCUCAAGCGUACCGCCGAAGUCGUGUCAUUGCAGC